rnacentral:rRNA from 1 species
CUUACACAUGCAAGUCGAACGGUAACAGGAAGCAGCUUGCUGCUUCGCUGACGAGUGGCGGACGGGUGAGUAAUGUCUGGGAAACUGCCUGAUGGAGGGGGAUAACUACUGGAAACGGUAGCUAAUACCGCAUAACGUCGCAAGACCAAAGAGGGGGACCUUCGGGCCUCUUGCCAUCGGAUGUGCCCAGAUGGGAUUAGCUAGUAGGUGGGGUAACGGCUCACCUAGGCGACGAUCCCCUAGCUGGUCUGAGAGGAUGACCAGCCACACUGGAACUGAGACACGGUCCAGACUCCUACGGGAGGCAGCAGUGGGGAAUAUUGCACAAUGGGCGCAAGCCUGAUGCAGCCAUGCCGCGUGUAUGAAGAAGGCCUUCGGGUUGUAAAGUACUUUCAGCGGGGAGGAAGGCGAUAAGGUUAAUAACCUUGUCGAUUGACGUUACCCGCAGAAGAAGCACCGGCUAACUCCGUGCCAGCAGCCGCGGUAAUACGGAGGGUGCAAGCGUUAAUCGGAAUUACUGGGCGUAAAGCGCACGCAGGCGGUCUGUCAAGUCGGAUGUGAAAUCCCCGGGCUCAACCUGGGAACUGCAUUCGAAACUGGCAGGCUAGAGUCUUGUAGAGGGGGGUAGAAUUCCAGGUGUAGCGGUGAAAUGCGUAGAGAUCUGGAGGAAUACCGGUGGCGAAGGCGGCCCCCUGGACAAAGACUGACGCUCA